CCUACGGGAGGCAGCAGUGGGGGAUAUUGCACAAUGGGGGAAACCCUGAUGCAGCGACGCCGCGUGGAGGAAGAAGGUUUUCGGAUUGUAAACUCCUGUCUUUAGGGACGAUAAUGACGGUACCUAACAAGAAAGCACCGGCUAACUACGUGCCAGCAGCCGCGGUAAAACGUAGGGUGCAAGCGUUGUCCGGAAUUACUGGGUGUAAAGGGAGCGCAGGCGGGAAGACAAGUUGGAAGUGAAAACCAUGGGCUCAACCCAUGAAUUGCUUUCAAAACUGUUUUUCUUGAGUAGUGCAGAGGUAGAUGGAAUUCCCGGUGUAGCGGUGGAAUGCGUAGAUAUCGGGAGGAACACCAGUGGCGAAGGCGGUCUACUGGGCACCAACUGACGCUGAGGCUCGAAAGCAUGGGUAGCAAACAGGCUUAGAUACCCCUGUAGUC
rnacentral:rRNA from 1 species